UGUGCCCAAUGGUCGGGUCAGCACCC
rnacentral:piRNA from 1 species